UGUCAAAGGUGCGAUACCUCUUUUUAAAGAAGCAUAUUUUAUUUGUAUAUUAAACUAGGAAGAAUACUUAUUGUCAUAAACCUCAUACAACCACAGGGGACAGGUAUUCAGCCUCAUAUAUUCAAAAACAUGUACUGUGUUGUUAGAUUAGGUUUAGGCAUUUGUUUUGAAUACAGUGAAAAGUUGAGAUGUAACUAGAUCCAUUCUGUAAACCAAGAGCUGCAACAGGUGCAUGGGUGACCAUGGUUUAUAGUUGAUAGGUGAUCUGGAAGAUAGCCACUUGGUGAAAUACCCAGUAACAUUGACCAAAACCAUAAUACCAUUUUGAACAAUGUGGAAGAUGUUCUAAAUUGCUUAAAUGUACCAGAAAAUUGAAGAGAACUAGAUGGUGAGACUUAAUUGUUUAUUUGUCAGUUUACAGGCUCUUUUUAUGAACUAACUUGUAAUCCUUGUCUCUUCCUCCCCUUGACAAAUUUCUGGUGGAAAACUUAAAAGGAAAUGUGAUUUCAACUUGAAUUCUUGCCUCCAUUCUUGAACAGUGCAUAGCGUACCUUCACUAAUCAAAUAAGAUUGUUCAUUAUAAUAUCCCAUCUGAACAUGCCCUUUGCUGAACAGACAUUGUUUGGGGGGGGGAGGACAACUCUAAAUACCUUCUACAGCUAUCUGCUUUUCCUUCUUCAUUUGGGAGUGACCUCACCUCAAUACCACUUGCUGUCUUCAUUUUUUUGUGUCAAAACCUCCUUCAGAAAUACGUAAUUCUGUGGAGUGUGUAGAGCUUGGACUGGUCUGUCCAAUUUGUGGAUUUCACAAACAUGAACUGAUGUUUUUUCCCUUGCUUAAAAAGUCGUUGGUGUUACGAGUUUCUACUGUGGCACUUUCAGCAACUUCCUAAUAAGCAGACCUGGUCUUUGCAUCUGAAUGCUGAAUGUGUUGAAAUUCUUCCCGCUACAUGACUCUGGAUAUACUGGCUCACAGACUCUGGUUACCAGUCUGUGGUAUUCUCUUGAGCCCUUGAGUGCUUAGCUGUGUUUAAAUACUUGCUGAAUAUCUGGACCAGAAUGGAUCCUUUGAGCAUUUGCUGCAGCAUUGAUUUACUUUUCUAGCAUAGCCUGUUCUGUCAGUGUUACACUGGCACCAUCUUUACUGUUUUAUAAUGUGAGUGUUCUGCAAAAACAAAUUUAUUCAGUGGAUUGUUUGCAGGACAGAUGUAAGUAUAUCUGUAACUUCUUUGAAAUUCGUGUUGAUGGGAUGAAAAAAACCAAGGAUCCUAGACUUUUAAAGUGUGCCUAAUAGACUGUGGUGGAAUGAAGAACAGAAUGGAGAAAUUACCUUUGUGGGAUGGAGGUUGAUCACAGCCACCCAUAGCUCCCUGCAUUCCCUGUUCUGCAAAAUAGGAUCAUAGAUGCCAGCAUUAAAAGGUGUUUCUGGGUGACUAAAAUGCUGAUGUGGACUUCAUUGUGUAGCCAACACAGCUGCUUUUGGUGGAGAUAUGUUGGUGUGUUAAAUUUUGUAUCUUGAAGGACAGUCCAGAUGGUCAUUUGUAAGUUGGUACAACUGUCCAGUGGAGACUAGGCACCUAGGGUGAGGUAGUCUGGAAUACUAGUAUUGAGGGUGAUAGUGAUAUUUGUCUAACACCACUUUGCUGCAAGGGUAUCUGAAUAUUAUAAUUCAUAUAAGUGAAUAUGGAAAGCUAACUUUGCAGCAGAUCAGAAGAGGUAAACAGCGGAUGCAGAUUCUGAAUUGUAUCCCUAUUCUUCACCUGCUCUGAAUAUUUUAAUAGGAAGCAGUAGCUAUCCAUGAGGAUGCUGACUGCAAGAAGGCAAGGUGAUUCACUGCCAUAAUGUUUGGGAAAGUUGUGCAUCAUUGCAUAUUCAUGUGCAUUGAACUAUAUAAAAGCUGCAAGUGAGGACAUUCUUUUUCUGACUGUCAUAGGUAUGAAGUGUUGAAAUGCCAGGAGUCAUUUUAGGGUACGCCUAUUUCCUGCUGUCUUGGUCUCUGAAGGCCUUUGAUGACACCCUAGAAAGGGUGGAAAAGUUUAACCAACCCCAGGCAAAUGCAGAGCAAGUGGCACUCCUUCAGAAACUUGAAGACUUGUUGGAGUUGCCUCAUGAUCAGAUUUACCUUUAAGAAGGCAAACAAUCUUUUCAUAGUUGCUUAGCAUGAACUGUAUAAUAAUUGAAAAAUUGAAAGGUAAAUCUCGCCAUCAGACUGCUGUGUCAAAGUGGACAGAACGUCCAUAAUUUGAACAGGCAAGUAUUGGAAUAAUAAAAAAAAAAAUAUCUAGAUGGUAGCUGGAAGUGUUCUUUAGAGAAUUCACAGAUUAUGUUGUGGGUAGGUUUUGGGGUUUUGUUUGUUUUUUUCAUUCAAAAGUAGGGUGGGGGUUUUUGCUGGAAGAUAAGGUACCUUAACUUUGAAUAAUUGGAGAGAAAUCAAGCUUUUAUUUAAAUUGAUAGAGAAAAGUAGCUCAAUUCAUAGUGAAAUCUUUCUAAUAGAACAAAUGUACCAGCAGCAUGGUAAGGUUCAGAAAAGGGCAAACCAUCAUGCGAGAGGCAGAGGAGGUGCAGCUGCUUGAUUACUACCCAAGUGGUCAAUGGGCUUGCCUCUCAUAAGACAGUUCCUGUUUCUCCUAACAUUGUUUUGUAUUAUAUGUGUAAGAAGGGGAAUCUGCAUCUGAUUUGAGGAAGAGCUGUAUACUCCCAAAUCUUAUUAUGGCCUGGAAUGUUGAUAGUUAAAGGUGAGGAGAUUGUUCAUGCCCUUCAUGUUCUGCAAUUUGCAGAUGCAGUUUCAUGUGCUAUGUGCAUGAUGACAAAAGGUCCUGAAAUGUGCAUUGAAAAUUCCCUCAGGAUGUUCCCGGUUGUUCCAAGAGCCUCAAGCACUGCUGUCAGUUGGCUAAAUGUGUGUGGCAAUAGCUUCACAAACAGUAGCCUCUCUGGGGCAUCUGUAGCAACUCUUCAUUAGCAUGAACCUGAGAGGUACUAUUGAAAAUGUACCCUUCUGAGGUUGAUUUUACAGACACUUUAUUGUUGUAAAGUGAGCAAGUCUUCUAGAUUAACCGCAGUAGUUCAGAAGUAAAAAAAUGAGUUGCUUUCUGUCCCCCCUAAAUAUAUCAAGGGCAAAAUGGCAUGUACUCUUAAGAGCCUGCAAGUAUAGUAUGGUGAUUUCAGCUGGCGUUUGGUUGUUAAAGGUAACUUAAGUUUAAAAAAGACCAAAACAAAAAAACCACUUGUUACAGCCAGACAUUCAUGUUCAAGUUUGCAUAUUGCAAACUGAUAAUGUGAUAUAUAUCCAAUGAAAGUAUAUAAUAUGUUGAAUAUCCAGUGUAAGUGAUGUGUGAUGAAUGUGCAAUGAAAGUGUUCAAGGCAAGGUCAGAUGGGGCUUUGAGCAACCUAAUUGGACUAGAUCAUCUUCCGACCCAAACUGUUCUAUGAUUCUGUGAAAACAAAAAAGGAGGGAAGGGUUGAGAAGGGUGGACAGCCACCAAGAUAAUUAAAGUGCAGAAAAGGUCUUGUUACAGAGACAGAAAUAUAAAGGAAAUGGUGAAAGAGUUUCUGCUACAGAACAUUGUGAAGUCUGUCACAAAGGAGAAAAAGCAAAUUAUUUCAUCGCUGUUUUAGCAGUUCUUCUUUUCCUGCAGAAGCAGAAAAGAUUGGGUAAGAACGUUUAGGAUUGUCUCUUUCACAAGAGGCCAUCUUCAUCUGGUCAGCAUAUGUAGGCUCGCAGAAGAGGAUACUGCCUUCAUUAGUCGCCCUGUGUUCUCUUGGGCCCUGAUUAUAGGAAGUGCUCUGAUAGUACAGCUACAACAAUCUAUUGGCUUGCUUAUUCCUUUCACCCACCAGUAGCAUGUUAUUUCUUGCUUGGCCCUUAAUACAGCCAGCAUAAAGGCGUAGGAAAGUAGUUGCUUCCAUACUCCCAAAAGAGAUUAAUUUGUUUUCCUAAAAGAGCUGGUAAAGCCCAAUGGCAAUAUGUGUGGCUGAGGAUGCAAAUAGCAAAGUGCUUCCCUUCUGUUUGGCAAUAGCUUAGCUUCCUAGGGAUACUAACCUGUUCCUUUAGUAUGAUGACAGGGCAGAAGUUUGAGUGUUCAGACAUUCUGUGUGGAGGUUAGCAAGUUUAUGUGAAUGGAGGUACAUCUAGUUAUAUUCAAAAACUGCUCUUCAAAUUCCAUGUGCUUUCCAGGCAGGUAGCCCUUAGGUACAUGAACAUAAAGGAUGAAUCAGGUCUUGGAAAAAAAGAAUUGAAAAGAAUUUAAAAGAAUUGAAACCUCAGUUGCUGUGGGGAAGAAAAAAAUGUUGUGGGCAGCUUUUAAGUUGCAGAAAAUACCCAUCUGAAUUUUAUGCCAGAUUCAGUCCAGAAUAGCUUGUCCCUAAGGAAGAGUGCCUUCUCUGAGAAGGUACAUCUGUGCACAGUUGCUUUUAAGAUCUUUGUACCAAGGUCCUUUCUGGUGAUUAAGACUUAAAGAAAAAAACAAAAAAAAUCCAAACAAAACAAAAACCAACCAAACAGAAAAAUCAAACCAACACCCCCCUACCCCCCACCCCCAAAAAAACCAAACCCAACCCGCAACAUACAAAUCCCCACUAUUACAAACAACAAACUGAACUUCUGUCUCUUCUGACACAAGUUAUCUAAGAUAACUUGAGUAGACAAUAGUGUUUACAUUACCUCUGUGGUCAACGUAAGGAGCUUUCAAAGAUGUCAGCAGUUUUUAUAGCAGAUCUUUGAGCUUUUAUUAUCAGAACGGCUACUAACAGCAUAUGGCUCUGUAACUGUCAUGUUCUCCUUCCUCAGGAUGGCCUGUAAUUCUAAGGCAGUAAGAGAACAGUUUUUGCUCUUGGUCUGACUCUUCCUCAUUGAGGAAACCAGAUGCAUAGUCCACUAAAAGAUUUCUACCAAACUUGUCGGAAUUUAGCUGGAGUUUAUGGGGCUGUCUAAAGGGAGGAGCAGACAAAUUUUGUUACUAGGGAACUUGCCAAAAUUUACCUGUUAAGAAUUCUUCUGGUUUAGAUUAGAAAGUGAUAAUUUUGGGAGAGAGGAACUGAGGGAC